CCUACGGGUGGCAGCAGUGGGGAAUAUUGGGCAAUGGAGGAAACUCUGACCCAGCAACGCCGCGUGAAUGAUGAAGGUCUUCGGAUUGUAAAGUUCUUUUCUCAGGGAAGCAGAAAGUGACGGUACCUUAGGCAUAAGCCUCGGCUAACUACGGGCCAGCAGCCGCGGUAAUACGUAGGGGGCGAGCGUUAUCCGGAAUGGCUGGGGGUAAAGGGUUCGUAGGUGGUUUGGCAAGUUAGUAGCGUAACUCCAAGGCUCAACCUUGGAACUGCUACUAAAACUGGUGGACUUGAGUGCAGGAGAGGCAACCGGAAUGCCUAGUGUAGCGGUGGAAUGCGUAGAUAUUAGGAGGAACACCAGUGGCGAAGGCGGGUUGCUAGACUGUAACUGACACUGAGGCACGAAAGCGUGGGGAGCAAACAGGAUUAGAUACCCCUGUAGUC
rnacentral:rRNA from 1 species